UACGGGGGGAGCAAGCGUUGUUCGGAUUUACUGGGCGUAAAGGGCGCGUAGGCGGCCAGCACAAGUCAGUUGUGAAAUCUCCGGGCUUAACUCGGAAAGGUCAACUGAUACUGUGCGGCUAGAGUGCGGAAGGGGCAACUGGAAUUCUUGGUGUAGCGGUGAAAUGCGUAGAUAUCAAGAGGAACACCUGCGGCGAAGGCGGGUUGCUGGGCCGACACUGACGCUGAGGCGCGAAAGCCAGGGGAGCGAACGGG
rnacentral:rRNA from 1 species